GGGCCCGCACAAGCGGUGGAGGAUGUGGCUUAAUUCGAGGCUACGCGAAGAACCUUAUCCUAGUCUUGACAUGUAUGGAUUAACCCUGUGAAAGCAGGGCCACGCCUUCGGGUGGAACAUACACAGGUGCUGCAUGGCUGUCGUCAGCUCGUGUCGUGAGAUGUCGCGUUAAGUCGCUUAACGAGCGAAACCCUUGUCUCUAGUUGCCAGCGCGUAAUGGCGGGGACUCUAGAGAGACCGCCGGCGUUAAGCCGGAGGAAGGUGGGGAUGACGUCAAGUCCUCAUGGCCCUUAUGACUAGGGCUGGCACACGUCCUACAAUGGAACGCACAAAGGAAGCGAAACCGCGAGGUCAAGCAAAUCCCAAAAAUCGUUCCCUAGUUCGGAUUGCAGGCUGCAACUCGCCUGCAUGAAGCUGGAAUCGCUAGUAAUCG
rnacentral:rRNA from 1 species